GGAAAGGUGAGCCCUUUGCUGCUCAUGAAAGUUUUCACCUCUCCCAGACAUGCAGCAAAACGUUUCAGCACCUCUCCUCUGGACAGCCACCGGACUCUGUUGUGCAGCAGGAGAUCAGAGUAUGUGCUGUCCACCUCAUCCAGUAACGAACGGAACUGGCGGUGAUUUAAACCUUUUGCCAUUAUUUUAUUUACAAUCUGAAUGACAAGAUUCAUGACCUCUGUGCAUUCUGAAGGAAAAGUUUGCGCGCACAAUGCCUCUUGGUGCAGGAUGCAGUGAAAAGUGAGCAGCUUUCUGUCCAGUGACUUCCGCCUGGUUCGCACUGGAAGCGCCGCGCGCGGAACGGAAGCGCCGCGCACAGAGUUUCGGAUCGGCGCCCAUGUUAACCUAUGAGACUGUUCACACAGCACGCGCGCGGAAGCGCCGCGCGCGGAACGGCUCGCGCUCUGGAGCGCGGGUGCUCCGCUUCUCUCUAUUUUCGGCGCGAGCCGCGAGCUCCGAUGUAAAGCUCAACAGAGCAGAUCGGACCAGACAGGAAGUCAGGAAGGAGAUGCGAGAGAAUCCGGUCAAUUUUCAAAAUAAAGUAAAUUUCAAUAAAUUAGAAAAGGAUUUACGGUGUUGCUUGUCAGUCUAUUUUUUUUACCGAUGAACACACACACACACACACACACACACACACACACACACACACACACACACACACACACACACACACACACACACACACACACACACACACACACACACGGAGGGAGAGCUGCAGAGAUUCAGUGAUGUUAUUGAGACAAAGAGGGGGGGGGACUUUAUUACGAUACAGUCAAUAGCCUCGAGCUAACAAGGCUAUACAUACAACGGAGUCAACAGACUCCCCAAUUUAUUCGUCGUUUACCCCUAUAUAAUAAUUUAAAACAUUACUUGAAGAUGCUGUCAAUAUUUAAUUCAUGUAUGACGAAAUAAAAACGUAAAUAAAUAGUGAUUUACCCAUUUUUAAAGCGCUCGUAAGUGUGGAAAACUGAGGGCAGACGGAAACGGCCGAGCACUACCGGGCUCAGUCGAUGUCUGACCGGCAUUGUCAGAGCGCAGCAGAAAGCGCUUCCUGUGUGAACAGCCAAGCGCGAGCCAGCGCUGCGCGCGCGCGCGGCGCUUCCGUUCCGCGCGCGGCGCUUCCUGUGUGAACCAGGCGUUCUGCAGCAAAGCCACAAAGCCCCUGUGCUCUCCAGUCAUAUUCGGUGCCCCAUCAGUAGCCACUGACACUAGGUGGGUUGUUUUUAUUUCUUUGGCUCGUAAACAAUCAAGCACAGCCUCACAGAUGUCCUCCCCCCGUGUCUGGCCUUUUAGUGGUAUCAGCUCAACCAUUUCUUCCUGUGGUCCAGCAGAGUUCACAUAUCGGCAGAACAGCGCUAUUUGUUCAAUGUCACUUUUGUCUUUGGACUCAUCACAGGCGAUUGAGUACGCUGCAGCUGAAUUGAUGUCUUUAAUUUGCUGUAUUGUGAUAUUUUGUGCCAUUUUUAUGGUUCUGUCUUUGACAGUCUUCGCAGAGAGAGGCAUCUCUCUGAUUUUCUGCACAAUUUCAUCCUUGUUUUUAAAGUCCGCGAAUAGGUGUUCUGAAAUCUUAAGGAAUGAUUGUUUCAUAUAAUCUCCAUCUGUGAACGGUUUCCCAUACCUGACUAUUUCCUGAGCGGCCACAAAACUUGCAUGUGUAGUUGAAUUUGCAGACUUCACCCACUUCUUGAAGUGAUUUUUCGUCAAAUCAGCCUUCCGCAUCAGUCCCGAAACAGCUUUUUUUCUCUCUUCUCCCUCUGGAUAUUUUUCAGCAAAGGCUCUGUGUGUAUUGUUGAAAUGUCUUGCGACAUUUGACCGUUUAUUGUUAGACAGCUUUUCUCCACAAAUUAGGCAUACUGGUAGGCCACUCUCAUCAGAGGUAAAUGCAAAUGAAUCUGCCCAGGCAUCAAUGAAUGUUCUAUUUUCUUCAGAUAUUUUUCUUUUCUUACAUUUCUCCAUACUUGGCCUUGCUGGGGUUGAAAGUCGCGACAAAUGGACGGCAUACCGGCUUUCGCGAGUAUGACGUUUAUUUUGAGCGACGAAAAACAAUAAAAUAUAUUUAUUCUAAUAUGUCAAGAUCACAAUAAUCUUCCAAUCUAGAACUAAAAUAUUCAAGAACUAAUACAAAUAAAAUACACUUCAAUUAGAUACUUAGUUUUUUUUUUUUUAGUAAUUUAUUUUCCCAAGCCACUCAGAGCCGCAGUAUAAGGACGAAAGAGCCGCAUGCGGCUCCGGAGCCGCGGGUUGCCGACCCCUGCCGUAGACCAUCACAUUUUAUUAAACAGACUGAAGCAUUUGGUUGGCCUCUCUGGUACCGUUUUUAAGUGGUUCCACUCCUAUCUCAUGGAUUGAUCUUUCUUUGUAAAUAUGGAUACAUGUUCCUCCAGAACACAUAAAAUUAGGUUCGGGAUCCCCCAAGGGUCAA
rnacentral:lncRNA from 1 species